GGCCGACUAGCUCAGCUGGUUAGAGCGUCGUGCUAAUAAUAGAUGAUUAAUAACGCGAAGGUCUUGGGUUCGAUCCCCACGUUGGCCA